UACGGGGGGGGCAAGCGUUGUUCGGAAUUACUGGGCGUAAAGGGUGCGUAGGCGGUCGGGUAAGUCUGAUGUGAAAUCUCACAGCUUAACUGUGAAACUGCAUUGGAUACUAUCCGGCUCGAGGAAUGGAGGGGAGACUGGAAUACUUGGUGUAGCAGUGAAAUGCGUAGAUAUCAAGUGGAACACCAGUGGCGAAGGCGAGUCUCUGGACAUUUCCUGACGCUGAGGCACGAAAGCCAGGGGAGCAAACGGG
rnacentral:rRNA from 1 species